rnacentral:rRNA from 1 species
AGGCAAUGAUGCGUAGCCGAACUGAGAGGUUGAUCGGCCACAUUGGGACUGAGACACGGCCCAAACUCCUACGGGAGGCAGCAGUAGGGAAUCUUCCACAAUGGGCGAAAGCCUGAUGGAGCAACGCCGCGUGGGUGAAGAAGGUCUUCGGAUCGUAAAACCCUGUUGUUAGAGAAGAAAGUGCGUGAGAGUAACUGUUCACGUUUCGACGGUAUCUAACCAGAAAGCCACGGCUAACUACGUGCCAGCAGCCGCGGUAAUACGUAGGUGGCAAGCGUUAUCCGGAUUUAUUGGGCGUAAAGGGAACGCAGGCGGUCUUUUAAGUCUGAUGUGAAAGCCUUCGGCUUAACCGGAGUAGUGCAUUGGAAACUGGGAGACUUGAGUGCAGAAGAGGAGAGUGGAACUCCAUGUGUAGCGGUGAAAUGCGUAGAUAUAUGGAAGAACACCAGUGGCGAAAGCGGCUCUCUGGUCUGUAACUGACGCUGAGGUUCGAAAGCGUGGGUAGCAAACAGGAUUAGAUACCCUGGUAGUCCACGCCGUAAACGAUGAAUGCUAAGUGUUGGAGGGUUUCCGCCCUUCAGUGCU